AUGGGAAAGACUAGAGAUCUCUUCAGGAAAAUUAGAGAUACCAAGGGAAGAUUUCAUGCAAAGAUGGGCUCGAUAAAGGACAGAAAUGGUAUGGACCUAACAGAAGCAGAAGAUAUUAAGAAGAGGUGGCAAGAAUACACAGAAGAACUGUACAAAAAAGAUCUUCAUGACCCAGAUAAUCAUGAUGGUGUGAUCACUCACCUAGAGCCAGAUAUCAUGGAAUGUGAAGUCAAGUGGGCCUUAGAAAGCAUCACUAUGAACAAAGCUAGUGGAGGUGAUGGAAUUCCAGUUGAGCUAUUUCAAAUCCUGAAAGAUGAUGCUGUGAAAGUGCUGCACUCAAUAUGCCAGCAAAUUUGGAAAACUCAGCAGUGGCCACAGGACUGGAAAAGGUCAGUUUUCAUUCCAAUCCCAAAGAAAGGCAAUGCCAAAGAAUGUUCAAACUACCGCACAAUUGCACUCAUCUCACAUGCCAGUAAAAAAAUGCUCAAAAUUCUCCAAGCCAGGCUUCAGCAGUGCGUGAACCCUGAACUUCCUGAUGUUCAAGCUGGUUUUAGAAAAGGCAGAGGAAUCAGAGAUCAAAUUGCCAACAUCCGCUGGAUCAUGGAAAAAGCAAGAGAGUUCCAGAAAAACAUCUAUUUCUGCUUUAUUGACUAUGCCAAAGUCUUUGAUUGUGUGGAUCACAAUAAACUGUGGAAAAUUCUGAAAGAGAUGGGAAUACCAGACCACCUGACCUGCUUCUUGAGAAAUCUGUAUGCAGGUCAGGAAUCAAUAGUUAGAACUGGACAUGGAACAACAGACUGGUUCCAAAUAGGAAAAGGAGUAUGUCAAGGCUGUAUAUUGUCACCCUGCUUAUUUAACUUCUAUGCAGAGUACAUCAUGAGAAACAGUGGACUGGAAGAAACACAAGCUGGAAUCAAGAUUGCUGGGGGAAAUAUCAAUAACCUCAAAUAUGCAGAUGACACCACCCUUAUGGCAGAAAGUGAAGAGAAACUAAAAAGCCUCUUGAUGAAAGUGAAAGAGGAGAGUGAAAAAGUUGGCUUAAAGCUCAACAUUCAGAAAAUGAAGAUCAUGGCAUCCAGUCCCAUCACUUCAUGGGAAAAAGAUGGAGAAACAGUGGAAACAGUGUCAGACUUUAUUUUUGGGGGCUCCAAAAUCACUGCAGAUGGUGAUUACAGCCAUGAAAUUAAAAGACGCUUACUCCUUGGAAGAAAAAUUAUGACCAACCUAGAUAGUGUAUUCAAAAGCAGAGACAUUACUUUGCUGACUAAGGUCCAUCUAGUCAAGGCUAUGGUUUUUCCUGUGGUCAUGUAUGGAUGUGAGAAUUGGACUGUGAAGAAGGCUGAGCGCUGA
rnacentral:lncRNA from 1 species